UACGUAGGGUGCGAGCGUUAAUCGGAAUUACUGGGCGUAAAGUGUGCGCAGGCGGCCGCGCAAGUCGAGUGUGAAAGCCCCCGGGCUUAACUUGGGAAUUGCGCUCGAAACUACGUGGCUGGAGUGUGGCAGAGGAAGGUGGAAUUCCAGGUGUAGCGGUGAAAUGCGUAGAGAUCUGGAGGAACACCGAUGGCGAAGGCAGCCUUCUGGGCCAACACUGACGCUCAUGCACGAAAGCGUGGGGAGCAAACAGG
rnacentral:rRNA from 1 species